CUUGUUAAGGUCGUCCUAACUGCCAUUGCUAUCUAUCAUCUCACGCCUCUUGACAUCUCGGUGGAGGUCCUCAAGAAAAUCGAUAGUAUUCGCCGUGCAUAUCUUUGGGCGGGCUCAGACAAGGUGUCUGGAGGAAAAUGCAAGGUUAACUGGGAGCUCGUUUGUAAGCCCAAGGACAAGGGUGAGCUCGGAGUGCUUAACCUGGAUAAGUUCGCCAAGGCUCUACGGCUCCGAUGGCUAUGGUUUGAGUGGACUGACAAGAGCAAGCCCUGGAUUGGCAUGGGGACGCCGUGCAUGGAGGAUGAUCACCACUUCUUUGCAGCUGCCACUAUGGUCCUUGUUGGCAACGGACGAACGAUGCAAUUCUGGAACUCGUCGUGGCUCAAUGGCUUGCAGCCCCGUGACAUCGCGCUGGACCUCUUUGCCCUUUCUCGCAAGAAGAACUCAUCGGUCCAGCAAGCCAUGACCAACAACCUGUGGAUCACUAAUAUUGAUGGCACCAACAGUCUGUCGCUCGCGCAUAUCGAGUAG
rnacentral:rRNA from 1 species